AGAACGAACGCUGGCGGCAGGCUUAACACAUGCAAGUCGAACGCGUGUAGCAAUACACGAGUGGCGCACGGGUGAGUAACGCGUGGAUAUCUGCCUUUUGGUUCGGAAUAACCCCGGGAAACUGGGGCUAAUACCGGAUGGUUCCUUCGGGAUAAAGAUUUAUCGCCAAAAGAUGAGUCCGCGUACGAUUAGCUAGUUGGUGAGGUAAUGGCUCACCAAGGCGACGAUCGUUAGCUGGUCUGAGAGGACGAUCAGCCACACUGGGACUGAGACACGGCCCAGACUCCUACGGGAGGCAGCAGUGGGGAAUAUUGGACAAUGGGGGAAACCCUGAUCCAGCCAUGCCGCGUGCGGGAAGAAGGCCUUCGGGUUGUAAACCGCUUUUGUCCGGGAAGAAAUGGCAUCCCCUAAUACGGGAUGUUCCUGACGGUACUGGAAGAAUAAGCACCGGCUAACUACGUGCCAGCAGCCGC
rnacentral:rRNA from 1 species